rnacentral:lncRNA from 1 species
CCCGGAACUAACGCGGAAGUAAGAAUUUUUUCUGGCUCGCUGCGCCAAUGAGCACAAACCAUUGAAAUCAACGGGCGGCCAUAUUGGAAGCCCGGGGCUUGAGUGCAGUACAUUGAAGUAAAUUUGUGCAGUAUCGAUGCAGACGCGCUGUGAAGGAGCUGAUCAGACACUUCCCCUCACUGAGUGCUCCGUUUCGGACAGAACUCGUUCGGGGGUAGGGUGAGGGAGGAGGGACCGGUUUCGGAAAGGCACACUCCCGGAAAAAAAACCCCUCAUAAAACAGGAAGUGACGUCGCACCAUCGCAGAUGCAGCCCGCGGAAAAGGAACCGAUAUGGCAGAGGCGUCAACAUUGAAAUCCGCGCCCAAACGCAGACGGAUUCUUGACCCGUCUGCCGUCGUCCCAGUGCCCAUCUACUCCAACCAGGUGAACAGAAGUUUGAAGCUUAAAGCGCCAACGUUCAGCGAGAAAAAUCCCACAGAGGCAGCUGCAGACGACGGCUUCUGGUCAACGUUUUCCUGCGCCUCGAAGAACCGGGCGCCGGUGGAGCUCAGCGAGUCUGACUCUGACGACGAGCUGAAGAGCGCGGUGCAGGCGAAGAAGAGCAGCAGCAUCACGGAGCCGCUGCGCUCGCCGUCUCCUCCUCCUCCUCAGAGUCCGCUCCAGAAACCGUCCCGGAAAGCCAAGCUCAAACUCAAUGAGAUCGAGCGGCAGCUGCAGGCCGUGAACUCGCUCCUGUCUCCGGGAACGACUCACGACGGCGGAGGGGCAGAAGGGCAGACGGUCGCCGCGGUUACAGAGCGUCGACGACGUAAUCAUCGUGAGCGCCACGGAAGACGACGACCUCAUCGUGAUGAGCCCGGAGCCCUCGUCUCCGCUGGGGUUCAGGGCGGAGCGACAGAUCCCUCUGAAGGUCCGCUGCAGAGCCGACCUGCACAAGAUCCACGUGCAGCCGUCCACGCCCCUGAGCGUCGUCGUGGAGCAGCUGUCCGUCACUCUGGGAGUCCCGCCCCCUCGGCUGCUGCUGCUGCGGGAGGAGGCGGAGCUUAG